rnacentral:lncRNA from 1 species
AAUGAUUUAUGAUUAUUACUGUAAGGAAAGUGAUUUAAGAAAAAGAUUUGGGUGGAAAUGAGAGUAGGUAAAAAAAAAAAAAAAGGUGGGGCAUUUGUUGGGUGAGAGGACAAAAAGGUAGUAAAAUGAGAGAACAGAAGAGAGCAGACCAGGGGACGUUAUUGAUGGCAUCAGAAUAUUCAUGUCAUCCAUUUAAUAGUAAUAAUAAUGACAAUGAAGUUUCCUUGGUAUUCAUUCCAUCAUGUCAAAUCCAUGCACGUGAUAGACUCACCUCUCCCCUCCUCCUCCUCCUCCUAAGUUCACCAUUUUCUAAGUCAACAGCGACAAAAAGCAUUUCCAUAAACCAAAUAUGACAAGGAAUUCUUUGCAAUAUAAUAAUAACACUUCACUUCCAUUCCACCCAUAUGAGACAAAACCCGGUGCUGUGAGUGAAUGUUGCUGCAGCGUCACCUCCUUAUUUUUCAUUUCAUUUCCUUCAUAAAUUCUAUACUUAUUCAACCUCUAUUCUAUUCUGACAUUUCCUUUAACCAUGUUUUUUCUCUCAUUUACUACUACUGCUUCCAUCACUCUUCUUUAUUCACUGUAUAUUUUGAAGUUUUUAUCAUAAAAUUUGGAAGAAAAAGUUGUAGGUUGGGAAUACAUUAAUGAGAAGAGUGAGUGUAUACGCAAUUGUUCACCAACACACUGAGUCACUGCAAGGCUUCUGCCUCUGCUCUGCUACUCCUGCUGCCACCUGCAUUCACUGUCACUCACCACCAUCAUUCUCCUACCCUUUUGCCCCCCCUCCCCUGGGAAUCAAUGCCAAUGGGAUCCUCCUAUUCCUG